CUCAGGAUGAACGCUGGCGGCGUGCUUAACACAUGCAAGUCGAACGGGAAACCUUUUAUUGAAGCUUCGGCAGAUUUAGAUGUUUCUAGUGGCGGACGGGUGAGUAACGCGUGGGUAACCUGCCUUAUACAGGGGGGAUAGCAGUCAGAAAUGACUGCUAAUACCGCAUAAGCGCACAGGACCGCAUGGUCCGGUGUGAAAAAACUCCGGUGGUAUAAGAUGGACCCGCGUUGGAUUAGCUAGUUGGUGAGGUAACGGCCCACCAAGGCGACGAUCCAUAGCCGGCCUGAGAGGGUGAACGGCCACAUUGGGACUGAGACACGGCCCAGACUCCUACGGGAGGCAGCAGUGGGGAAUAUUGCACAAUGGGCGCAAGCCUGAUGCAGCAACGCCGCGUGGAGGAAGACGGUUUUCGGAUUGUAAACUCCUGUUCUUAGUGAAGAAUAAUGACGGUAGCUAAGGAGCAAGCCACGGCUAACUACGUG
rnacentral:rRNA from 1 species